rnacentral:tRNA from 1 species
UUUCGUUAGUAAAAGUGAAUUAUGUUAUUUUGAUAAGGUAAAGUUUAACGGAAUAAA